UUAAAUUGAGAGUUUGAUCCUGGCUCAGGAUGAACGCUGGCGGCGUGCUUAACACAUGCAAGUCGAGCGAUGAAGUUUCCUUCGGGAAACGGAUUAGCGGCGGACGGGUGAGUAACACGUGGGUAACCUGCCUCAUAGAGUGGAAUAGCCUUCCGAAAGGAAGAUUAAUACCGCAUAACGUUGAAAGAUGGCAUCAUCAUUCAACCAAAGGAGCAAUCCGCUAUGAGAUGGACCCGCGGCGCAUUAGCUAGUUGGUGGGGUAACGGCCUACCAAGGCGACGAUGCGUAGCCGACCUGAGAGGGUGAUCGGCCACAUUGGGACUGAGACACGGCCCAGACUCCUACGGGAGGCAGCAGUGGGGAAUAUUGCACAAUGGGGGA
rnacentral:rRNA from 1 species